GUCCCUAUAGCUCAGCGGAUUAGAGCGCUUCCCUCCGGAGGAAGAGGCCAGAGGUUCAAAUCCUCUUAGGGACG
rnacentral:tRNA from 2 species